rnacentral:ncRNA from 2 species
GUUGAAUGUGUCCGUCGAGGUUCCCCGCGUCAGGCAUGGGGCGGGGCUAAGACGGGAAGCCGGUGAUGUCCUUCGGGGCAAACUCCGGCGCUGCCCCCGCAACUGUAAGCGGCGAGCGGCGGCCCCAAUUCGCGCCACUGAGUCCUCGCAAGGGGCUUGGGAAGGCCGGGGCUGUCGUGACGACCCGUGAGCCAGGAGACCUGCCUCCGACGCCAGAACGUU